rnacentral:misc_RNA from 1 species
AAACAAUAUAACUAGAUAAUGGUAUUUCAAUACCUCAAGUUUACACAAUUUAAAAAGGCAGAGUAAUAUUUCCAACAAGAUUCUCCUCCUAACAGAUACUGCAGAUAUUCAACAGAAUAUUACCAAAACUGAAAGCAAUAUGACAUACGAUGAACAAAAUCGGAUAGGACCAGACAAUUAAUUAAAAUCAACACUGUUUUCUUUGCGCUUCAACUCCAAUGCUAUUCGCUCAUUCUCAAGCUUCAUCCUUUCAUUUUCAAUCCUCAUCUUCUCUAGUUCAUGAUCUCUUUUCCUGCUAAAUCUUUUCCACUUGAAUCGCUGCUUUUCCAGUUCUAACGUCUCAAGUUGAAUUUGUAACUUUUGCUCUUCUAACUGAAUUGUGCGAGAUUCCAUCCACUGCUUCUGUGACCAUGCUGCUCUCGUACUUUCAGACGACAUUUGAUUCAUAUCGACCUGACCGAUCUGCAGGUGAGAAUAGGAACCUUUGUUACCAUCCUGAGAUGAAUGCCCAAAACAAGCAUCUUCAUGGCCCUGGCCAUGUCUCAACCUUUUCACAGAGCCCCCUGAGACCGCACAUAUUCCCCUGCUAUCCCCACGUGAAGUAUGAUUCUCCUCAAAUUCAUCAUGAUCCUCAGUUUCCACUUCUUGAUCAUCUUCAUC